rnacentral:rRNA from 1 species
AUUGAACGCUGGCGGCAGGCUUAACACAUGCAAGUCGAGCGGGGAAGAGUAGCUUGCUACUUAACCUAGCGGCGGACGGGGGAGUAAUGCUUAGGAAUCUGCCUAUUAGUGGGGGACAACAUCUCGAAAGGGAUGCUAAUACCGCAUACGUCCUACGGGAGAAAGCAGGGGACCUUCGGGCCUUGCGCUAAUAGAUGAGCCUAAGGCGGAUUAGCUAGUUGGUGGGGUAAAGGCCUACCAAGGCGACGAUCUGUAGCGGGUCUGAGAGGAUGAUCCGCCACACUGGGACUGAGACACGGCCCAGACUCCUACGGGAGGCAGCAGUGGGGAAUAUUGGACAAUGGGGGGAACCCUGAUCCAGCCAUGCCGCGUGUGUGAAGAAGGCCUUUUGGUUGUAAAGCACUUUAAGCGAGGAGGAGGCUACCGAGAUUAAUGCUCUUGGAUAGUGGACGUUACUCGCAGAAUAAGCACCGGCUAACUCUGUGCCAGCCGCCGCCGUAA